rnacentral:misc_RNA from 1 species
UCAAACUUGGUCAUUUAGAGGAAGUAAAAGUCGUAACAAGGUCUCCGUUGGUGAACCAGCGGAGGGAUCAUUACAGAGAGAGUCGCCCCGGACUCCCCACACCCCCGUGAACGUACCCGCGUCGCCUCGGCGGCGGCCCUCGCCCCGCCGGCGGCCCGUCAAACCCUGUCUGACGUGGAAAUUCUGAACUGCGAAGCAAAACAGUUAAAACUUUCAACAACGGAUCUCUUGGUUCUGGCAUCGAUGAAGAACGCAGC